ACAGCAUAGAAAGCGCGAAAAAGAGAGAAAAAUCAAAUCAAAUGAAAAAUUAAACUAAACCCUUCCAUUACUGUGUUUUCCGCAGUGUUAGGGUUUAACUUUCUCUUCUUCGUUCCCGUUCUCGUUCUCGUCCUCUCCUCUAACAAUGGCUGAUACCAGUUCCGUGGAUGCGUCUCUGUGGUGGGACUCAUUCACUGUCCUCUUCUCUGAGCUUGAAAAUUCCUCUCUGACCUCAGAUCUCCCACCGAAUUUGGCGAAGAAGUUGAAAGACAACCAUGCCUGGUUCGUGGACACACUGACGCGCUUCAAACCGCCCAAUCAGAGUUCAAAGGAAGCUUUGAGUUCAAAAACGCUGAAAAUUGGAUCUCACCAACUCACUAUUCAACCUCAGCUGAAAGAUACAGCGUUGCAGAUUAGCUCCUGUCUGCUACUAGACGAGGUUCAAUCAUACAUUCUUGUCGAAAGGUCCAUCAAACACAACAAUGCUGCUGUGGCUGAUUCCAUGGCUCCAGAGUUUCUUUACAUGAUGUUAGUUCAAUAUUACAAGGAGCGACAGUGCUUGCUAAAGUGCAUCAGGUGGAUUCUCAUGCAUGCUAUACACAAUGGUUAUGUGGCUGAAGACAAUACUAUGAAGGAGGAGGCAAGAAAACUGUUUCAUGAUGGACUGGAAAAUAAAUUAAUAUUGUUCUUUAGCAAUCUUUUGUCAUGUAGUUUCCCAGAGCAAAUGGAUGUUGAUCUUUUUACUCUGUGGGCUGAGGAGACUCUAAUUGAAGACAACUUGGUUUUAGAUAUCCUUUUCCUAGCAUAUUAUGAUUCGUUUUGUACCUGUAGCAGUGAAAUGUGGAAGAAGUUUAUUUCUCUUUACAAGGGGAUCUUAGCUGGUGAUUAUAAUUUGGGAAAGCUAUCAAUUACAACAGAAACACAACAGUUGUCUUAUCAUGCUAAAGUUCAGCUGCUGCUUAUUUUAAUAGAAACCCUGAACCUGGAGAAUGUUCUUCAAAUGGUUCAUGAUGAAGUACCUUACAGGAAAGGCGUGUCUACAUUUUCCAUGACUGAUGUUCAAGAAAUGGAUGCACUAGUUUCUACAUUCAAUGCUUUUGAAAUGAAAGAAGCUGGUCCUCUAGUUCUAGCAUGGGCAGUAUUUCUUUAUCUACUCUUGACACUUGUGGAAAAAGAUGAAAAUAAUGAGCUAAUGGAGAUUGAUCACAUUAGUUAUGUUCGUCAAGCCUUUGAGGCUGGAUCCUUGCGUUAUUGUCUUGAAAUUCUUGAAUGUGACAUUUUGAAGGAAUAUGAUGGCCCAGUGUCUGGAUAUCGCGGUGUUUUGAGGACAUUUAUAUCUGCAUUUGUUGCAUCUUAUGAAAUCAACCUUCAGCCUGAGGACAGUAACCCCACUUUGAUGCUGGAUAUUCUUUGCAAGAUUUACCGUGGAGAGGAAUCAUUGUGUAUUCAGUUUUGGGACAAGGAAAGUUUUAUUGACGGUCCAAUUCGGUCUCUUCUUUGCAACCUAGAGAGUGAGUUUCCUUUCAGGACACUCGAACUUGUACAACUCCUGUCAUCCCUUUGUGAAGGAACUUGGCCUGCAGAGUGUGUGUAUAACUUUCUAAAUAGGUCUGUUGGUAUAUCAUCCUUGUUUGAGAUUAGUAGUGAUUUGGAGGUAGUUGAGGCACAACAGGCAGUGCAAGUUCCUGGGGUUGAAGGUUUCUUUAUUCCAGCUGGAACUCGUGGUAGUGUCUUGAGAGUUGUUGGAGAGAACACUGCCCUUGUACGAUGGGAGUAUUCACCAUCUGGAAUGUUUGUGUUACUCCUACAUUUGGCCCAAGAGAUGUAUUUGAAUAGCAAGGAUGGAGUUGUUUAUACUCUUGACCUGCUUAGUAGAUUGGUGUCUUUUAACACUGGUGUUUGCUUUGCUGUGAUGGACAUCAGCAACUCUCUGCUAUUUCAUGAUGUUGGUUUGAUGGAUGAGCAGGUUGAAAAGAGGGUCUGGGUAGUUGACAUAAUAUGCAAUCUUGUAAAAAACCUGACUCUGAAUUCCUGCGGUGCUGCACUUAUGUCAAUGGGUGUCAAGAUUUUGGGGAUUAUGUUGAUUUGUUCUCCAGCUAAUGUUGCAGCAACCACUCUAAAUGCAAAUCUUUUUGAUAUUACUUUGCAGACACCUACGUUCAACGUAGGCAGUAAUGGUUUGUCAAGUGGGUCAUGGUUGCUUUCUUGCAAACUGGCUAGGAUGCUUUUAAUUGACUGUGAGCAAAACAGUAAUGACUGCCCCUUGGCAAUAUCAGUGCUGGACUUCACCAUACAGCUUGUAGAAACAGGAGUAGAGCAUGAUGCUCUCCUGGCAUUGAUCAUUUUCUCUUUGCAGUAUGUCCUAGUCAAUCACGAGUAUUGGAAAUACAAGAUGAAACAUAUUAGAUGGAAAAUAACAUUGAAGGUUCUUGAGUUGAUGAAAAAAUGCAUUUCAUCAAUGCCUUAUUAUGGAAAAUUGGGUGAGAUCAUAAACAACGUGUUGUUCUCUGAUUCUUCCAUCCAUAACACACUAUUCCAAAUUGUUUGCACUAAUGCACAUGCUUUGGAGAAAUUGCAUGUAAGCCGCCUCUUUGAUCCAAUGGAAAUUGAAGGGUUACAGCUUGCUAUAGGUUCUGUUUUAGAUAUUCUUUCAGUCAUGUUGACCAAACUUUCUAAGGAUACAUCAUCGAACUUUCCAGUUUUUCUCCAAGCAUUGUUCUCAUGCACAACCAAACCGGUUCCUGUUGUCACUUCUGUUAUGUCCCUGAUUUCAUACUCUCAAGAUCCUGCCAUCCAAUUCGGUGCUGUUAGGUUUAUUUCAAUGUUAUUUGCCAUAGCAGAUUGUAUUCAACCAUUUUCAUAUGGAAUCACAUGCUUCAUUCCAGAUAAUGAGAUCAUGGAUUUGAGGCACUCUGUGAACUACAUACUGCUUGAGCAAUCAGAAUCAAAUGAAGAUCUCUUUGUUGCUACAGUCAAUCUGUUUACUUCUGCUGCACAUUACCAGCCUUCUUUCAUUAUUGCUAUCUUUGCUCUAGAGGAGAACACUGAAGACCACUUGAGCAUUGGUGAUGCAAAGCUGCAAAAAAAGGAAACUUCUCCUACAACUGUAGUUUCUAAAAGAUCAAGUCUUGUAGAUGCACUUAUGCACUAUAUUGAAAGGGCAGAUGAUCUGAUCAAGAGCAAUCCCCGCAUACUGCUUUGUGUACUUAACUUCAUGAUUGCCUUAUGGCAAGGGGCUCCCCAUUAUGCCAAUCUCUUGGAUGCUUUAAGAAGGCAUGGAAAGUUUUGGGAACACUUGGCCAAUGCAAUCUCUAACAUUGCUAGCAGUGAAAUUCCCUUACUUAGGAGUCUUGAAGAAAAAGAUGCUUUCAAUCUGGCUUACUGUUUCCAUUGUCAAUCUUCCAUACAUGGAAUCAUGGCUUAUGAAUUAUUCUUUCACAAGAAGUUGUUUCAUGCAGAGUCACUUGUGAAGGAUGCAGCUGAAUCCAAGGACAAGGAGCAAAAUGCCACAAAAACAGAAAAAUCCAAAGCACCAGAUCUUCAGGAUCUUAAGGGAAUCUGGUCUUCAUGGUUCAACGACUCUAUUUUAGAGAAACUAAUAAAGUCAUACACUUCUUGUGGAUAUAAUAAUGAUAUAUAUGGUGGUGCAAAGGUCGCCACCAGUUUAUUCUCUGUUCAUGUGAUGAUGAAAUUAGCAGUUUGUGACUCUGGAAGUAUAUCUGUGUUAUUGCUUCAGAAGAUUCAUGAAAUUCUGACGAAGCUCAGCAUUCAUCCUGCUUUCUCUGAAUUGGUGUCUCAGUAUUCACAACGUGGUUACAGUGAAGGGAAGGAACUAAAGAAAUUGAUACUCAGUGACCUCUAUUAUCAUUUGCAAGGAGAACUUGAAGGGAGGAAAAUUGAUAUUGGCCCAUUCAAAGAAUUAUCUCAGUAUCUUGUCGAAUCAAAUUUUUUGGGAACGUAUCAACACCUGUUCAAUGAAGACUCUUUUACAAAGAACAUGUUUACAAAGAAUGUGUACUUGUUUGACCUUGCACACUUGCGAGAAGAUUUGAGAUUAGAUUUGUGGGAUUGUUCUAAUUGGAAAACAUCCAAGGAGAUUGCAGAAACCAUGCUGCGUUUCCUGCAGGAUGCAAACUCAGUUAUGUUGCUUUCAAGUUCAAAGCUUUCUGCUUUGAAAGGACUGAUAGCUGUUUUGGCUGUCAACCAUUAUGAUUCACAAGGGAGGGCUACAACUGGAGGGAGAAUUUCAGAUGAACUCAUAUUCGCUUUCAUGGAUAAUAUAUGCCAAUCUUUCCUUGCUACCAUAGAGACAUUAUCAUCUGUUCUAGACGCCUCUGAGGAUAUUCUUAACUUUCUUGCAUGUCAAGCAGAAUUACUCCUCCAGUUGACAAGAACUGUCUGUAAAAGCCUCUCCUUACAUGUAUCCCUACUUGUUCUGAAAUGUGCUAGUUCAGGUCUUAAACUAUUGAGUGCACUUAAGCCUUUACCUUCUGAGGCUAAUCUGAUCAUGAAACUUUUACUCACAUUGCUGCUUUCAGUACUACAGUCCGACUCCCUUAAUGCACAUUCAGAUGGGGCAACUGAUGAGAGUUCUGGUGAGGACUUCUCAAAGGUUUCAAAUGCAACCCUGGGACUACUACCCAUUCUUUGCAACUGCAUUGCAACUUCUGAGCAUUGCAUGCUAUCCCUAUCAGUUAUGGACUUGAUAUUGAGACGCUUCUUGACACCCAGGACUUGGUUACCUGUCCUGCAGAAUCAUCUCCAACUGCCAAUUGUUAUGCUGAAACUCCAUGAUAAAAAUUCUGCCUCUAUUCCAAUAAUAAUGAAGUUCUUUUUGACCCUUGCACGGGUUAGAGGAGGUGCUGAGAUGCUUUAUUGUUCUGGCUUCUUGUCAUCUUUAAGAGUGCUAUUUGCUGAAUCCGGUGAGGAUUUCUUGAGAAUUGGUAGUGAGAAUCUGGGCAGCUCAUGUGAGAAGUUUGUAAUACCGCAGGAUAUUUGGGGUCUUGGAUUAGCUGUGGUUACUGCUAUGGUUAAAUCCUUGGGAGACAAUUCUUCUGGCACCGCUAUUGUGGACAGCAUGAUACCGUACUUUUUUUCAGAGAAAGCUCGUCUUAUUUUUAAUUCUCUAAAUGCCCCAGACUUUCCUUCUGAUGAUCAUGACAAGAAAAGACCUCGGGCACAGAGGGCAUGGAUUUCUUUAGCUACUCUUAAAGAAACUGAACAUACUUUGAUGCUCAUGUGUGAGCUAGCAAAACAUUGGAAUUCAUGGAUUAAGGCAAUAAGAAAUGUGGAUAGACAGCUUAGAGAGAAGUGUAUCCAUCUUUUAGCCUUCAUUAGCAGGGGAUCUCAACGCCUUAGUGAAUUGUCAAGCAGAAAUGCCCCUCUUUUAUGUCCACCUACUGUGAAAGAGGAAUUUGAAAUUUGCUUAAAACCUUCUUAUGUCAAUAGCAAAAAUGGAUGGUUUGCUCUUUCACCACUCGGAUGUGUGCCAAAACCGAAGAUCUCUUCUUUCUCAACUGCAUUAUCUACCUAUGGUCAAGCAACUGAGAGUAGGAAUCCUGCUUCAAAAACAGGCUUUUCUGAUACUGUUGCCUUGCAGGUAUAUAGAAUAGCAUUUCUCCUUUUAAAGUUUCUUUGUUUACAAACUGAGGGUGCUGCUAAAAGGGCUGAGGAAGUUGGGUUUGUUGAUCUUGCACAUUUUCCUGAGCUUCCAAUGCCAGAAAUCUUGCAUGGACUGCAGGAUCAAGCUAUUGCCAUUACUACGGAGCUCUGUGAAGCCAACAAACUAAAGGUCUCCCCAGAAACACAGGAUGUUUGCAACUUAUUGUUGCAAAUACUUGAAAUGGCCUUGCACUUGGAACUUUGUGUUCUACAAAUUUGUGGCAUAAGACCUGUAUUAGGACGUGUGGAGGAUUUUUCAAAGGAAGCCAAAUCUUUAUUUAGUGCAUUGGAGGGUCAUGCUUUUCUAAAAGCAUCUUGCAACUCUCUAAAACAGAUGAUAUCGUGUGUCUAUCCCGGAUUGCUGCAGGGAGAGAAUUUCAUAUAAGAUUUGAUGUAGACAAAAGAGCACAUUAUUAAUUGUACAGAAUUUCAUAGUGCCAAUUGUCAGUCUUCUUUCACUAUGUAGCUAGGAGAAAAGGUUAUCAACAUGGGGAUAAUACAUAGGCCGUGUGUUGCAUGAUUUUCGGUAGUAAAUGAAUUCUUUGUGCGGCCACGCACCGUGCCUCGGUGAUGGUGAUUGUGCCCAAUGCUGUCUUGGUUUCGCUUGAUCAGGACCUGUUCUAAAGGUUGACAAGUUUGACACAAUUUUGCAAGGGAUGUCAAAUACUUGAUUUUAACCAUAGUUCGAAAUUUGUGGUAAAUGGACUAUCAUCAUGUAAGUGAAAUCGUAAUUUACUUAUCAUAUUGAAUAUCAUGGCUCAACAGAUUUACUUUAUACAUCUUUAUAUUAAUUUAGGUCUCCUCUUCUCUAGGCGUUAAACGACCUUAAAUAUAGCCAAAGCUUAUUGGUCUGCAAUUUAAUUGGCUUUUAAAGAAUUCUGGAAAAUACUGUAUAAACAGGCCUAUUUCCACAAUUUUGGGUACUGAACUGACAUGGUGGGUGCAAUCGUAA